rnacentral:ncRNA from 1 species
UACCUGGUUGAUUCUGCCAGUAGUCAUAUGCUUGUCUCAAAGAUUAAGCCAUGCAUGUCUAAGUAUAAGCAAUUUAUACCGUGAAACUGCGAAUGGCUCAUUAAAUCAGUUAUCGUUUAUUUGAUAGUACCUUACUACUUGGAUAACCGUGGUAAUUCUAGAGCUAAUACAUGCUAAAAGCCCCGACUUCGGAAGGGGUGUAUUUAUUAGAUAAAAAACCAAUGCCCUCCGGGGCUCCUUGGUGAUUCAUAAUAACUUAACGAAUCGCAUGGCCUUGUGCCGGCGAUGGUUCAUUCAAAUUUCUGCCCUAUCAACUUUCGAUGGUAGUAUAUGGGACUACCAUGGUUUCAACGGGUAACGGGGAAUUAGGGUUCUAUUCCGGAGAGGGAGCCUGAGAAACGGCUACCACAUCCAAGGAAGGCAGCAGGCGCGCAAAUUACCCAAUCCCGACACGGGGAGGUAGUGACAAUAAAUACUGAUACAGGGCUCUUUUGGGUCUUGUA